rnacentral:rRNA from 1 species
UGUGUUUUGCACAAGGACUAAAAAACCCAUGAACUUAUGAACCCAAGAACUUUUUGUUCUUAAGUUCUUUUGUUCUUUCGUUUUUUUGUUCUCGCGCAAGGCGCGAGGCAGUGGCGAACGAGUCAGUAACGCCUUAGUACAUACCCUGAAGUUUGGCAUAGCUCGUCGAAAGACGAGGUAAUUCCAAAUAAUCUCCGACCCCGCAAGGGUGUCGGAGUAAAGAUGCAAAUCGCUUCAGGAGUGGCUUAGGUCUGAUCAGCUAGUUGGUGAGGUAACGGCUCACCAAGGCUAUGACCGGUAGGGGGGGUGAGAGCCUGUUCCCCGACGAUGCAACUGAGACACCCGACGAUGCAACUGAGACACGGUGCAUACUCCUACGGGAGGCAGCAGUCGAGAAUAUUCGACAAUGGGCGAAAGCCUGAUCGAGCGACGCCGCGUGCGGGAAGAAGGCCUUCGGGUCGUAAACCGCGAUAGCAGGGGAAGAAGCCUUGUGCGUAGCACAAGAACUAAAAAACUAAAGAACCUAUAAACCAAAGAACAACUUGUUCUUACGUUUUUACGUUCAUGUGUUUUUCGGUUCUCGCGCUACGCGCGAGGUUGACGGUACCCUGUGGAAAGAGGUGGGUAACUACGUGCCAGCACCAGCGGUAAAACGUAGACCUCAAGCGUUAUCCGGAUUUAUUGGGCGUAAAGCGUGUGUAGGAUGUUCGGUGCGUCUUUUGUUAAAUCUCGGGGCUCAACCCUGAGGCUGCAAGAGAUACGGCCGAACUAGAGGACGUCAGAGGCCAGUGGAACGCACGGUGUAGGGGUGAAAUCCGUUGAUAUCGUGCGGAACACCAAAGGCGAAGGCAGCUGGCUGGGACGUUCCUGACUCUGAGACACGAAAGCGUGGGGAGCAAAAAGGAUUAGAUACGAAAUCUUUGUGGAGGGUUUUCCUUUUGCCCGUAGAAACAAAGAGCCCCGAUGUAAAUCGGGGUUGUCAAAGGUGUCCCCCUCGACGGCGACGUCGGGGUGAGCAUCUAGCUGUAUCGGGGAACUCCGUCCUGUCGGACGGACAAUCCCGAGGGAAGUCGACAGAAUGCAAAAUUGAAAGUUCAAAUUUCAUUUUGUUUGACCCCGUAGAGACUAUGAAAUUGAGUUAAGAUAGUUGGCGCAUUAUGUCAUGAGCGUAUAAAAUAAUAAUAUGCAAAAUGAUAAAAAGUAUGUGCCUUUGUCGGAUCAAGCGCGAGCCGUUAUUUUAGGAACAAUCCUAG